AACGAACGCUGGCGGCAGGCUUAACACAUGCAAGUCGAGCGCUAGCGAUACGAGCGGCAGACGGGUGAGUAACGCGUGGGAAUCUACCCAACCCUACGGAAUAACGCAUGGAAACGUGUGCUAAUACCGUAUACGCCCUUUUGGGGAAAGAUUUAUCGGGGAUGGAUGAGCCCGCGUUGGAUUAGCUAGUUGGUGGGGUAAAGGCCUACCAAGGCGACGAUCAGUAGCUGGUCUGAGAGGAUGAUCAGCCACACUGGGACUGAGACACGGCCCAGACUCCUACGGGAGGCAGCAGUGGGGAAUAUUGGACAAUGGGGGCAACCCUGAUCCAGCCAUGCCGCGUGAGUGAUGAAGGCCUUAGGGUUGUAAAGCUCUUUCGUCAGGGAAGAUAAUGACGGUACCUGAAGAAGAAGCCCCGGCUAACUUCGUG
rnacentral:rRNA from 2 species